rnacentral:rRNA from 1 species
CCUACGGGUGGCAGCAGUGGGGAAUUUUGGACAAUGGGGGCAACCCUGAUCCAGCCAUUCCGCGUGAGUGAAGAAGGCCUUCGGGUUGUAAAGCUCUUUCGCAAGGGAAGAAAACUUACUCAAUAACACUGGUUGAGGCUGACGGUACCUUGAUAAGAAGCACCGGCUAACUACGUGCCAGCAGCCGCGGUAAUACGUACGGUGCGAGUGGUAAUCGGAAUUACUGGGCGUGAAGCGUGAGCCGGCUGUUAAAUCCCCGGGCUCAACCUGGGAACUGCGGUUGAAACUACCAGGCUAGAGUAUGGCAGAGGGGAGUAGAAUUCCACGUGUAGCAGUGAAAUGCGUAGAGAUGUGGAGGAAUACCAAUGGCGAAGGCAGCCCCCUGGGUCAAUACUGACGCUCAUGCACGAAAGCGUGGGGAGCAAACAGGAUUAGAUACCCCAGUAGUC